rnacentral:rRNA from 1 species
AUUGAACGCUGGCGGCAGGCUUAACACAUGCAAGUCGAGCGGAGAGAGGUAGCUUGCUACUGAUCUUAGCGGCGGACGGGUGAGUAAUGCUUAGGAAUCUGCCUAUUAGUGGGGGACAACAUUUCGAAAGGAAUGCUAAUACCGCAUACGUCCUACGGGAGAAAGCAGGGGAUCUUCGGACCUUGCGCUAAUAGAUGAGCCUAAGUCGGAUUAGCUAGUUGGUGGGGUAAAGGCCUACCAAGGCGACGAUCUGUAGCGGGUCUGAGAGGAUGAGCCGCCACACGGGGACUGAGACACGGCCCAGACUACUACGGGAGGCAGCAGUGGGGAAUAUUGGACAAUGGGCGCAAGCCUGAUCCAGCCAUGCCGCGUGUGUGAAGAAGGCCUUAUGGUUGUAAAGCACUUUAAGCGAGGAGGAGGCUACUUUAGUUAAUACCUAGAGAUAGUGGACGUUACUCGCAGAAUAAGCACCGGCUAACUCUGUGCCAGCAGCCGCCGUAA